rfam:Camelus ferus unplaced genomic scaffold scaffold2519, whole genome shotgun sequence.
GAGGGUAUAGCACAGUAAUAGAGCGUGUGCUUAGCAAGCAUGAGGUCCUGAGUUCAAUCCCCAGUACCUCCA